CCUACGGGCGGCAGCAGUAGGGAAUAUUGCUCAAUGGGGGAAACCCUGAAGCAGCAACGCCGCGUGGAGGAUGAAGGUUUUCGGAUUGUAAACUCCUUUUGUUAGAGAAGAUAAUGACGGUAUCUAACGAAUAAGCACCGGCUAACUCCGUGCCAGCAGCCGCGGUAAUACGGAGGGUGCAAGCGUUACUCGGAAUCACUGGGCGUAAAGAGAGCGUAGGCGGGUGAGCAAGUCUGAUGUGAAAUCCUAUGGCUUAACCAUAGAACUGCAUUUGAAACUGUUAUUCUAGAGUAUGGGAGAGGUAGGUGGAAUUCUUGGUGUAGGGGUAAAAUCCGUAGAGAUCAAGAGGAAUACUCAUUGCGAAGGCGACCUGCUAGAACAUAACUGACGCUGAUGCGCGAAAGCGUGGGGAGCAAACAGGAUUAGAUACCCCUGUAGUC
rnacentral:rRNA from 1 species